CCUACGGGAGGCAGCAGUGAGGAAUAUUGGUCAAUGGCCGUAAGGCUGAACCAGCCAAGUCGCGUGAAGGAAGAAGGAUCUAUGGUUUGUAAACUUCUUUUAUAGGGGAAUAAAGGUAUCCACGUGUGGAUAUUUGCAUGUACCCUAUGAAUAAGCAUCGGCUAACUCCGUGCCAGCAGCCGCGGUAAUACGGAGGAUGCGAGCGUUAUCCGGAUUUAUUGGGUUUAAAGGGAGCGUAGGUGGAUUGUUAAGUCAGUUGUGAAAGUUUGCGGCUCAACCGUAAAAUUGCAGUUGAAACUGGCAGUCUUGAGUACAGUAGAGGUGGGCGGAAUUCGUGGUGUAGCGGUGAAAUGCUUAGAUAUCACGAAGAACUCCGAUUGCGAAGGCAGCUCACUGGACUGCAACUGACACUGAGGCUCGAAAGUGUGGGUAUCAAACAGGAUUAGAUACCCGAGUAGUC
rnacentral:rRNA from 1 species